rnacentral:lncRNA from 1 species
UAGAAAUCACACCAUUCUUUAUUUACAAAUUACAGGUCUGCAUAUAUACAUGCAUAUAAUUAUGCAGUAGAAAUCUUAUACACUAGAAAAAUCUUAUACAGUAUGCAUCUCAUAUAUUGUGCAUAUACAUGGUGCUUAUAGUAUCAUAUCAUAAACUGAACCAUCCCAGUCAAAGAUUCAAUUAAUUAUUUAUUCAGAAAAACUCUUGAGUUCUAGGGCAAUUACAAAUCAGUCCCUAAUCUCAAAGCAACCUUCAAUAUUAGAGACUCUGAGGGACUCAAGUGCAAAAGUACCUAAUUAUAUCAGACUAUCUAAUAAAAAAAAUUAGUGAAACCCUACAAUACUCCACCGAUCAAGCACUGCAUAGGUGUCAAAGCUAGGAGCAGCCAUCUAGCCCAAGUAGGUGAGUCACUUAGCUUUCACUAAAAAUUCCCACAUAUAUUAACUCAGCUAUCUGUGAACCAGCCUCGGUUUGGUCGUGCAGAUCAGCAUAGGCAGCAAGCAGUGGCAGUAGUAGUAGCAACAGCAAGAGCACAGCCAUGUCGCAGCAGCCUCAGCCGCAACAGCAGUAGCAGCAAGCAGUUCGUAUGCAAAACCAUCUCAAAAGAGAGAGAUAGCAGAGCAGUAGCUAGUAAUCCGGCACCACAGUUACACCAAAUCUCAAUAGCAGCAGCCAUAGAAAAACAACCAGGGUGAGAGAGUAGAAGGAAAAGAAAGGGGAUGCAUGUGUUUCAAGAAGAGCAAGGGGUUUCAAUUUAAAGAGGAGAAACAAGUAGCAGAUCCGGAAGGGCAGCAGUAAACAAGAGGAGGAGCAACACCCUGACCAAUUUCAAAAGAAGCUGUAGAACCAGAGGAGAGUCACACGGUCAUUAGUCUUCCACAGCCACAGUAGAACCAUCAAAUAAGGUAAUCUGGAAAAAGAAUUAGAAUGAGAGGGAAAUCACAUCAUGUCAUGAUUCUUGGUUGAUGCAUAUAUUAGUAUGUUUAGGAGUUGUGUGCACGCACUUAGUUAUAUGCAUUAAACCUGAAAAAUGAACCUCAGGAGAUGGCAGCUAUGUUGAUCUGUGCAUAUACUAGUAUGUGUAGGCCUUGGGUGUUGCAUUUGCAUCCAUUAGAAGCUGAACCAGAACAUCUCUGAUUCAGUAAAAUAUUCACAUUAAUAGUUUGAUCUUCAGAACGGUUUGUGUAACUAAAAUUUUACUAUAGAUAAACAGGUGCUCAGGUGAUAAAUCAAGAAACAGUAGAAUGUAUAUAAAGAUAUCAUCAGUCUUAUGUCUUUAUCAAAUUUAGUAACUGCAGAUCUUUAUUCAUAGUACAAAUAUUGAUAUUCUUGACAUAUAGAUAAAAUCAGAUUUUAGAUUUAGCCAUGGACUUGGAAAUUAGUAUCUGAACCCUAGCACAUAUUCAAUUUAUCAUGAAACAUAAGGACCAUAACAACUCUAUCAAUUAGGCUAGUUCAAUUAGUAAACAGUAGUAUAUAUUUUAGAUUGUAUAGAAUCACCAUAUAAUUGGAUUUAGGGUGAAACAUUCAUUUAUAUAUAAUACCAAGUUCAGGAAGCACUGGUAUUUCAGAUUAAAAUAUAGAAGAUCAUGUAGCAGCAGGUUUUAGUAAAAAGAAUAGAACUGAGCAAUUAAGGAUACCAAACAGAAAACCAUAGGUUCUUACAGAAAAUAAUCUAGAGAAGAGGUUAGAGCAUAGCAUCUGAAUCAAGUGGAUAUGUAUAUAAUUAGUUGACCAAUAGUUUAAUCCAUGUCCUCAUCAACCACUGUAAUUAAAUAAUGUAUAAAUUUGGUUAUUAAUCACACAAGCAUAUAGAGAUGAAAAUCUGGACACUAGUAAUAUCAAGGAUAAACAAUGCAUGAGUUUACUAAUUCUAUGGGAUUUAUAUGUGUAAUAUGUGCAUAUGUAUAUCUUCAUUUUUUUCAGUUUAAGUGCAAAAUUAGUAGUAGCUUAUGAAUUAUCAGGAAGCAGUAAUAUCCAUAGGGACUUGAUCAUGUUAGUGUGCUUUUAAUUUCAGUCCUGCAUUUUCAUAAGAUAUAUUCAUAUGAGCAUUCAUUCAUCAUGGGCAUACAGGCAUCAUCCAAUCUAGCAAAUGAAUUGAUCUAGAACCCUAAAACUAGUAAAUACAAUCAAUAGCAUAGAGUCAUCAAGUUGAUCAUUAGGAUUAGUCUCCAAGUAUCAUCAGUGCAUCACAACCAUAAAUCAUAAGGGAAAGAACACCUUACCAGUAUAACACACUAGAGAUCAGGGAAAAGGAGAUAGAAGGGAGGAAUCGAAGUGGUAGCAGCGGUAGGGGCCUGGGAACUUCCUCUGAAUCCUUACCUCGCCGGAGUUUUGCCGGCGGCUGCAUUUAGGAUUGAGGAGGUUGGAAGUUAGGUUUAGCUUAGGGGCAGAGAAGCGUGGAGCCAAGAAACCGAUUCGCGGCUGCGGGACAUCUGCUUGAGGGGUCGCCGGAGUGGGGCGCGGUAGCCGGCGCUAGGGAGAGUGGCGGCGUCGCCGGCGCUGCCUAGGAAGCGGCGGCACUGGAAAGAACGUGGGGGAGAGAAGGGGAGAACGAGGAGAAAAAAAAGAGAAGAGGAAGAAGGUGGUGUAGUGGGCUUUUCUGUUGGGCUUCUACAUGUGGGCUGUAUAUAUGAG